rnacentral:rRNA from 1 species
UAACGGACUUCACUCCCAACCCAAUGUGAACCAUACCAAACUGUUGCCUCGGCGGGGUCACGCCCCGGGUGCGUCGCAGCCCCGGAACCAGGCGCCCGCCGGAGGGACCAACCAAACUCUUUUCUGUAGUCCCCUCGCGGACGUUAUUUCUUACAGCUCUGAGCAAAAAUUCAAAAUGAAUCAAAACUUUCAACAACGGAUCUCUUGGUUCUGGCAUCGAUGAAGAACGCAGCGAAAUGCGAUAAGUAAUGUGAAUUGCAGAAUUCAGUGAAUCAUCGAAUCUUUGAACGCACAUUGCGCCCGCCAGUAUUCUGGCGGGCAUGCCUGUCCGAGCGUCAUUUCAACCCUCGAACCCCUCCGGGGGGUCGGCGUUGGGGAUCGGGAACCCCUAAGACGGGAUCCCGGCCCCGAAAUACAGUGGCGGUCUCGCCGCAGCCUCUCCUGCGCAGUAGUUUGCACAACUCGCACCGGGAGCGCGGCGCGUCCACGUCCGUAAAACACCCAACUUCUGAAAUGUUGACCUCGGAUCAGGUAGGAAUACCCGCUGAACUUAAGCAUAUCAUAAGCCCGGAGGAA